GCUGGGUGUGGUGGUGCAUGCCUGUAAUCCCAGCUACUUGGGAGGCUGAGGCAGGAGAAUAGCUUGAACCCAGGAGGCAGAGGUUGCAGUGAGCCAAGAUCACACCAUUGCACUCCAGCCUGGGUAACAGAGCGAGAAUCUGUCUCAA
ensembl:misc_RNA Metazoa_SRP Metazoan signal recognition particle RNA